AUAUAUUGUCAGCGGCCAAGCGAAAGCAUUAAGUAUUCCACCUGGGGAGUACGCCGGCAACGGUGAAACUCAAAGGAAUUGACGGGGGCCCGCACAAGCGGAGGAACAUGUGGUUUAAUUCGAUGAUACGCGAGGAACCUUACCCGGGCUUGAACUGCAACCGAAUGUCGCGGAAACGCGUCAGCUAGCAAUAGCGGUUGUGGAGGUGCUGCAUGGUUGUCGUCAGCUCGUGCCGUGAGGUGUCGGCUUAAGUGCCAUAACGAGCGCAACCCUUGCCGGCAGUUGCCAUCAGGUAAAGCUGGGGACUCUGCCGGGACUGCCAUCGUAAGAUGCGAGGAAGGUGGGGAUGACGUCAAAUCAGCACGGCCCUUACAUCCGGGGCGACACACGUGUUACAAUGGCGUGGACAAAGGGCGGCGACCUGGCGACAGGAAGCGAAUCCCCAAACCACGUCUCAGUUCGGAUCGGAGUCUGCAACCCGACUCCGUGAAGCUGGAUUCGCUAGUAAUCGCGCAUCAGCCAUGGCGCGGUGAAUACGUUCCCGGGCCUUGUACACACCGCCCGUCAAGCCAUGGGAGCCGGGGGUACCUGAAGUCCGUUACCGCGAGGAUCGGCCUAGGGUAAAACUGGUGACUGGGGCUAAGUCGUAACAAGGUAACC
rnacentral:rRNA from 1 species